rnacentral:rRNA from 1 species
UACGGAGGGUGCAAGCGUUAAUCGGAAUCACUGGGCGUAAAGCGCACGUAGGCUGUUUGGUAAGUCAGACGUGAAAGCCCUCGGCUCAACCGAGGAACUGCGUUUGAAACUGCUGAACUUGAGUGCCGGAGAGGGUGGCGGAAUUCCAGGUGUAGGAGUGAAAUCCGUAGAUAUCUGGAGGAACACCGGUGGCGAAGGCGGCCACCUGGACGGUAACUGACGCUGAGGUGCGAAAGCGUGGGGAGCAAAC